CAUUGAAAAGAAGUUGUGCAAAUCAAUAUAAUUUGAAAAUAAAAAAUUAUUAAUUAUUAUUGUUGUAAUUAAUUUUAAUAUAAAUAAAUUUAUUAUAAUUUUUUUUUGUAUUGUUUAAAGAUAAAAUAAUUUUUAUUAUAGUAAAGUAGUAUUGAUAAAGAAUUUUGAAAAAUAAAUAAUUUAUUGGAAAGUAGUAUUUAUUUUAUGUACCUUUUGUAUCAGGGUUUAUUAAAUAAGAGUUAAAAAUUUUAAUGCUCUCGAAUUUAAAGGAGCUAAUUUUAUAAGAUAGUUUAUGUUUUAUAAUAAUUAUAAAUAUAAAAUUAGAAAUGAAAUGUUAUUCGUCUUUUAAGAUAUCUAGUUUUUUAAGAAAUAAAUUUAAUUUAGAUAUUAAUAAUAUAAUAUUUUUUAUUUAAAAAUUAAUUAUUUAUUAAUAUUAAUAUAUUAAGGGAUAAGCUUUAAUUUAUAAAAUUAUAAUUAUUUAAUAAAUAAAAUUAAUUGUAGAUUUAGAAAUGGUUAUCAAUAAAAAUUUUGUAUUAAUUUAUAAUUUUUAUUUAAUAUUUUAUAAAAUUUAAUUUUAGUAUUAAAAUAUAAUUUUUAAUUAUAAAAAAUUAGAAAUAAUGAUAAAAUUAGUAUAUAAAGUUGUUUAUUUUAAUGUUUGUGAAAAAUUAAUUUAAGGAAUUCGGCAAAAUAAUAUUCACCUGUUUAACAAAAACAUGUCUUUUAGAAAAUAAUUUAAAGUCUAACCUGCCCACUGAAUAUUUUUGAAGGGCCGCAGUAUUUUGACUGUGCAAAGGUAGCAUAAUCAUUAGUCUUUUAAUUGAAGGCUUGUAUGAAUGGUUGGAUGAAAUAUUAACUGUCUCAAAUUAAUUAAAUAGAAUUUAAUUUUUAAGUUAAAAAGCUUAAAUAUAAUUAGAGGACGAGAAGACCCUAUAGAUCUUUAUAUUUUUAUUAAUAUUUUUUAUUUAGGUAAAUAAAUAAUUUUAUUUAUAGAAAUAUUUUAUUGGGGUGAUAACUAAAUUUAUUUAACUUUAUUUAAUUAAAACAUUAAUUUAUGAAUAAUUGAUCCAUUAUUAGUGAUUAAAAGAUUAAGUUACCUUAGGGAUAACAGCGUAAUUUUUUUAGAGAGUUCUUAUCGAUAAAAGAGUUUGCGACCUCGAUGUUGAAUUAAAGAUUAAUUUAGGUGUAGUAGUUUAAAUGUUUGGUCUGUUCGACCAUUAAAUCUUUACAUGAUUUGAGUUCAAACCGGCGUGAGCCAGGUUGGUUUCUAUCCUUAAUAAAAUAAAAUAUUUUAGUACGAAAGGACCAAAUAUUUAAAAAAGUUUUUAUUUAUUAGAAUUAUAUUAAU
rnacentral:rRNA from 1 species